CAAUGGAUGAGGGGUUAGACUUGUGGGUGUGUCCGGAUGGAGCUGAGAGUGGAGAACUUUCUGGUCACCCUGCUUGACAUCGGUGGGGCCCUGGAGGUGCGGGGGUCCUGGGGGGAUCUCUAUGGGGAGCUCCAUGGGUUCAUCUUUGUGGUGGACUCCAGUGACCAGCAGAGUAUUAAAGAGGUCCAGGAGUAUCUGACAGACCUGCUGAAGCAGCAUAAAGUGGUGGGAAAACCACAACUGUUGGAAGGACUACUUCUUAUAUCAAGUUUGAAUUCAUGGAAGUAGAAUAUUUGAUCAAUGCCAAAAUAAAAGUUACAGCUGAUUUUAUAACUUUGUUAUUCAAGGUUCUAUGAGGUGUAUAGAACCCAUGAGGUGACAGACGAUCUAUAUUACCUAAACCCAUUAAAACCUCAGUGUGACCAUUUACAGUGGGCAAGGAUGGACAGCAGCGAAGCUGAUUAGUGCUUUCAAUGUCGUUUUUCCUUUUUUGAACCAACUGAUGAAAUGUUUUGCUCUGUUGUGUUGUAGGCUGGCCAGCAAGCAGGACAAGAUGAACGCCCUGCUGGGGAUUGAGAUAAUUGAGAUCCUUUCUCUGGAGAGACUGGUGAACCAGAGCCGCUGUCUGUGCCACAUUGUCUAGUCUAGUCCUUGUACACACAACUAGACAGAGAGACAGACUGCCAAUCAGCUAGCCAGCCAUCCAGCUAGCCAAUCAGAGAUACAGAUUAUGUUAAUUAUGUACAAGAGACCGAUAGAUACAUAGACAGACACAAAUCCAUAGAUUUGAUUGUGUUGUGCUUUUCUGCUCAAGAAGCCCUGUUCAGUCUUCAUGGACCAGCUGAGGUGGACAGACAGAAGACGCUGUGGGGUCUUUGCUGGCUGCUGCAUGCCGUCAAUCUGGAUUACCCAGAACUCUGUUCUUUCAUAAUCAGGAACAUCAGGGACAGGAGACCUCUGGCACCAGAUGAGGGACAACCGUGGGAAGACGGAGAGGCUGCAGCAAGCCCAAAGAUGAAAGGAUACGUGGCAGCAAAAAAUAAACUUGAUAAAGUACAACGCCUUCAAGAAAAGGACCAAAGGCCCAGACCCCCUUCCUACAACCCAUUUGAGACAUUGACAGUUUUAGUUGCAGAUCCAUUUGAUCUUGAUAAGAUUCCUAUAGUUUCAGUACAGUAAAGGUGUUAUGUGUGAACUGAUACACAUUUUGUAUUUUAGGAUAAUAUGAAGAAAAAGAAGGGAGGCCUGCCCUGCCUGCAAACCCUCCACAACCUCAUUCUAUUACCUCAUAUCUUACAUUUAUGGAUUACAACUGGAGUUUCCAUCAGCUUUUGAAGGACAAUUAAAAAAGACCUGACAGCACAUUUUUCUUAGUAGCAACUGUGUAGGAAUUACAAAGCCAAUACACCUCUGAGAAAUGUGUGUUUAUUUUAUGUUACCAAAAUAUGUUAUAUAUGAGUGUCAAUAUUUAUUUAUUAGUGGUUAUUUAAUUAUCUGUAGUAAAAGUAAACAAUUGUUUACAAACAUGAUCAAUGUACGGUCAAACUAUUUCAAUUCCUCGUAAAUAUAAAGAGUUGACCUGUUUAUAUUGCAAUUUUGAUGGAAAGUAAAACUUGAUUUUAUAAAGUU